rnacentral:rRNA from 1 species
UAAUACGGGGGGAGCAAGCGUUGUUCGGAUUUACUGGGCGUAAAGGGCGCGUAGGCGGCCACCGCAAGUCAGUUGUGAAAUCUCUGGGCUUAACCCAGAAAGGUCAACUGAUACUGCGGGGCUAGAGUGCAGAAGGGGCAACUGGAAUUCUCGGUGUAGCGGUGAAAUGCGUAGAUAUCGAGAGGAACACCUGCGGCGAAGGCGGGUUGCUGGGCUGACACUGACGCUGAGGCGCGAAAGCUAGGGGAGCGAACGG